UGCCCUUCGGUCAAUGACUCCUCCUUCUUCCUCCCCGUCUCCUGUCUCUUCUCCCCCAUCUCAUACACAGCUCCCCUCCCCCCCCAUCCCCUCCUUCAGAUCCGGCUUUUGGAAGAUGGAGAAAGUAACACAUCUUCACCCCCAUCCCCUUCUUAAACACUAUUUACAACAUAAAUUCCAAACAUCCGCCAUCUGGUUCUAGGAAGGGCCAAAAGAUAUUUAGAAAAGGAAGUCAUGAUUAUUCCAUCUUCAAAGCCAAAGGAACUUAAAGGCCCCCUCUCUCCCGCCUCCCUCCCAGGGCCUCUUUGUUAAGAUCUAACAGAUUAGGAUCCCUCCGUGAGUAGAAAGAGCCAGUCCCAGCUGGGACUCUGACUGCAUCACUUUGAGCGGGUUGCUUCUCCUCUCCGUACCUCGGUUUUCCUCAUCCGAGCAAUGGGCGCGAGACGAGGUUGCCUCCAGCACUAACGUUCUGAGACUUUGAGUCCUGCUGCAGAAAACCCACCUGGCCCAGGUCCCUGUGGCCUGCUCUGGGCUGAGCAUAGGGUGGGCUAGUGGGGGAAGCGAGUCAGAGCCAGUGGGGGAGUUCCAGCCUCAACCUUCGGUGCCCCUUCUCUCUCACUCCGUGGAGAUCCAUGCAGACCAUCCACCUUCCAUCACACUGACACUAACACCAAGGGGAUGGGCUGGGGUCAAGCCAUCCCCCCAGUGGGAUACCAUGGAGUCCGGUCCCCUCCCCACCACAUCACAAUGAGGCCCAGAGAGGGAAAGGCUCUUUCCACAAUCACACCGCGUGUCCACAGGUGACCUGGAUUCUAACCGGCUGCUCUUCCCAUCCAGCACGCUCCAGAAGAAACCAGCAUUUGUAGUAUCCAGAGAACGUCGCUCAGAGCCAGCAAACCGGGACCCUGGAGGCCCCACUUCUUUGCAAAGUGGACAGGGCAGAAGGGAGAACUAAUCCCUUUACUGCGGUUGGUUGGUUUUAAACAGACAGCACGCUAGGGAGAAGUACAAGAGGCAUAACGAAAAUGGAAAGUCUCCCUGCUUCUGGAGAUGUGCACCUUUGCCGGGGUCCGCACACCUCCGUUUGCUCUGCAAAUGCUUCUUUGCCCACAGCCCCGUUUCCACCUCAGUGAACACAGGCCUGACGAAACGCCGUGAGACACUCACCCAGGCUGUCGCUCUAUAAAAAUGGCGCCGGGGAUAGUCGGGUCUCACGGGGCAGCCGUGAAAACGCGUGUUGGGCUGGCCGAAGCCCAUCCUGAGCCUGACGCUCACCGGCCGUGUGACCUUGAGGGAGCGCUAUGACCUCUGCGAGCCUCAGUUUCUCCGUCUGGAAAAUGGGAGUGAAAACGGCAAGGGCACUGGCCGGUGGGAGCCAGUCUUGCAACGCUGACGUUGGACGAGCAAGCACCCCAGAGAGGGCCUCCUGAGGACCAGAGAGGAGGGCAGGCGGCAGAGGCCCUGAAAACAGAGCUCCUCCCCGGAGCUUCCCAAGAAGACAGAGGCUCCCCCGGGCUGGGCUUGGCGACAUUUCCUGAAGACAGUAGGGAGCAGUGAGGGGAAAUUGGCCCGUUUCUGGGAGCAACGCCGCAGAUUGCCAACAGCCGGCACCAGGUAAGAAUCCGCCCGCUGUGAGUCUAAGGCCACCUGCUCAAGUGUUCCCCUUGGACACAGGGGAAAGGGAGCCACAGAGAGGGGAAGCCCGUGGGAGAAGUGACCACACUGGUAGAACUCAGGUCUCCCAAAUGGCCCGCUGUCUCCUGACUGGGGACCAAGAGUAAGAAGGAGCCUCUGGUGGGGUAAGUGGAAUAGGAGGGCUGUCGACCUCCUUCUCAUCUGAAGGAGACCAGGGGUCAGGGCCAGCACUGUCUGCCUGCCGGACAAGUAACAAAGACUCAAGGGAAGAGUUCUUGGGCAAGAGGACACGCUUCCUGCAUCUCUGCCCCUCCUCCCAGCCCACCACCUCCUCCUCCAGGAAGUCCUCCCAGCUCCCCCCCUGGGGCGGGAACGUCUUUGUCCUCUAAGACCUUGGCAGUCCUUUCUUAGGCUCUCCCUGGUGCCACUUGGAUCUGUGCCCUAUUCACCUUGCCAGGGACAUUCUUCUUCCAUUUCAGCCUGACUGCACUCCUCCAGGGCAAGGACAUCAGUCCCACCUCCCCUCGGCACAUAGAAGUCACCCUAGGCUUGCUGAAUAGUGAGGUGAAAUGGUGAGACCCUGUCUCAAACCCAAAGGAUUGGUAAAUUGGCCAAGGGAGGAGACAUUCGGCACAGAGGUUAAGAUGAGGGAGCCGGGGUUGGCUGUUCUGAGUUAGGAACCCAGCUCAGCUCCUAACUCCGUGGCCUUGGAAAAUUCCCUUCUCACAGAGCCUUGGGGAUACGAGGGGAUUAGCACAAUUAAAACAGUCAACAAAUGACUGCUCUUAUUACAGUCGGCAGCACUGUGAUUUUCCUAGCUACAAGGAACAGAAGUACGCAGCCUAUAGCCAGAGGAGAAGCAAACAGCUUCCCCCAAACGCUGCUCAUGGAGCCCUGUCCCUGCAUCACUUUCUCCCACGGGAACAUGGGCCUGCCUCCCAUCUACUUCCUGUUUCCAUACGCAGGAGGGGGGCUGUCUCGGCCACAAUAUUCGGAGCCUAAUGGGAUGUGCGGAAACAGCCCGCGCCUCCCCUGGUUCGAGCCAGGCUGUGCCCACAGAACCAUCUCCUCCCCGUCCCGGUCCCCUGCGUGGAGGUCACAACAUACCCCUGCCGGCCUCACCAGCUGUCCUGAAGGUCCGGCGUCACGGGGCGCAGUUCCCCGAGCUGCGGUCACGCAGACGCCCCCUUUCGUAUUUUUGCCACAUCUGCAAACCGUCACAAUAGUUUUACAUUUAACACGAGUCACUGGCAAUAGGUACGUACAAAUCGCUACCGUUCAUGAGAAACUCUAACACUGCUCGUGACGAGGAGAUGAAGGUGAGAAAAAUCAGAGCGAGCCCCAGGCCUUGUGAUUACCGUCCCCCUGGUACGUGGCUUGCAAGGGCCUGGGCCUGAGGCCUGAGACCCGAGGGGAAGACGCAGGGACGCCAAAGGUGGGCAGCUGAAGGCUUCAGAAAGACUUGUGCAGCAAGGGACGUGGGAGGCUGGCUUUAUCAGCUUGGUUCCCGGGGCCCUGGAAAGUUCACUUUGUCGGUACAGCCCCCGGCCCCCAGCUUCUUACUGAAAGCUUCAAGCUGUCAGGCCCGGCACGUUCUCUCGCAGGGCUGGUGGGAGAGUGGUGUGGACAGGCUGUGGGCUGCCCAGGACCCCGAAGGUGGGUUGUUGGAAUCAUUCCCCAGCUAAAUGCAGUUUGGAAAGAGUUCCUACAGGAGAAUUCCAUAUUAGAGAAAGGCAUUUCUUUGGCUGGGAAUACCUCAGGAUGGGGCUGUCCCUCUCAGGAGGCCGUGGGGACUGAGCUGCUCCAAGUGGCAGACCAGAGAGAGAGACUCUUUUGAUUCGGGCCAAAUUUCAGAUUUCUGAUAGAGGCGCAGGAGAUACUUUUUUUUUUUUUCUUUUUUGUAAGGAAGUGUGUGGUUUUUUGCUUUCUCCUAAGGAGAGGAUACCCACUGCCUCCCCUCUUAAGCCUUCAGAUAUCUCUGAAAGUAUACGUCAUGCACCACAUGUCGCCACAUAUCAAGGCCACCACAGUAGACAUCCAGCAACGCAGGAAGGCCCUCUGGGGGUUCCCCGAGAACUUGGGGGGGCAGGAGGGACCGAGGGAGCUCUGCCUGCUCACUCAGAGGUUCCCACCCAAGCCCACUCUCAACAGAAAAACAACUUAUCUCCGUGGCCAUUCAUUCAUCCACCAAAUGGCAUUCCCUGGGGCCCAGUAUCACGUACAAAGACCGCAGCAAGGCCCAAGGACACUCCUAAACCCACAAACGUGGGCGCUCUCCCCAGGGAACGGGAUACUAGCCCAGUCAGGCCCAGGUGCUGUUUGCAGCCUGACCCCGGAAAGAAACAGAUUGAGGAAAACAAUUCAGCCAUUCAACCAAUGCUUAAUGAGCAUCUACACGGGGGAACCUACCUUCAGUGGUGAGCCCAGCCAGCCGGGUCCCUUCCCUCACAGGUGGGCCACACAGCCCACAAGUGGAGGAGGUCGGAAAAGAGAAUUGCACACCACGUGUGACACAGGAUUAGAAAGGGGACACAGCAUGUGUGAGGACGUUGACCAGGGCGUCCUGAUGUUUGAGGCGGUGGAGGAGGGCUUCCCAGAAAAAGCAGCCUUUUGAGUAGGCACGGAGCACUGGGAGAGGAGUCAGCAGGGGGCGUGAGGGGGAGCACCCCCCUGAGAGUCCAGAGGUGGUGGGCACCGGAGAAGAGGAAGAGGUCCUCGUGAUCUUCGGUGAGGGUUUGGGAAUUUAGCCGGAAGGAGGGUGAGCGCUUUCAGGCUCGUAAGCAUGGAGGCGAUAGGAGCGUUCCGGAAGGAUGUCUGAGAAGGAUGGCUGGGGAGUCGGGAGGAGCCGGAGCAGGAAGUCCACACAAGUACCCUGAAGGUGCCGUCUGGCUGGAAUGAGCAGCGGGUAAAGGUGGGGAUGGGGCCACCGUGUCGGGUGAGUCCAGGCUGCUCUGCAAAGACAGAAGCGGCCUGCCCAGAGCAGGGCUGGUGGGAGAUGCGAGGGGCUAACGGAGAAGAGGUUUCUCUUGGGGGUGAGGACGUGGUCUAAAAUUAAUUGCGACAGUGGUGGCACAACUUUGUGAACAUAUCAAAAACCAUUUUGUCGUACGUUUAAAUUGGGGGGGGGGGGGUGCAUGUGGAUUACAUCUCGACAAAGCUGGUUUAAAAAAAAAAAAAAGAAAAAGCGGGGCGCCUGGGUGGCUCAGUCGGUUGAGGGUCCGACUUCGGCUCAGGUCAUGAUCUCGCGGUCCGUGAGUUCGAGCCCCGCGUCGGGCUCCGUGCCGACGUGUCGCGGCCUGGAGCCUGCUUCGGAUGCUGUCUCUCCCUCUCUCUCUCUCUCUCUCUCUCUCUCUGCCCCUCCCCCACUCGUGCUCUGUCUCUCAAAAGUGAAUAAAUGUUAAAAAAAAAUUUUUUUAAAGAAAAGGGAGGGCGAGGGUGGAUCGCCCUCGCAGAGGGCUCGGACGGGACGGGGGCGGGAGGCUCAGUGGGGGCACUUAUGGCAGUGUCUGGCGGGGGGAGCCGCGGGCCCCCUCACGCCCCCUCUCCCGCCUAGGGUGGAGUGGCCGCCACGCGCCCCCGGCACCCAGCAGCGGCGCCCUGUCCCCCAGCCUGAGGUGCAGUGCUGCAUCUCUGGUCAGUUGGGAGUCUGAGAUGAAGCACUGUAGCUCGGGAAGGGAGAAGUUGUUCUGCAGCUGUCAGCCCGGAAGCCGUAAGUGGCCGCUGUGCUCGGGGCCACCAGGAAGGCUGGCAGUGUUUCCAGUCUCCAUGCUGGCAGCUGCUUGUGCUGAGGAAGCUCCUGGACCCCAGGCCUGGCCGGGCCACUACCUGCUUCAUGAUUCGGGGCGAGUCCCGACCCCUCCGGGCGCCCCCGUUUGUCCAGCUGGAAGUGAGAUGUUGGGGCAUUCGGCGGUGGCCGUUAUCCGGACAACCCCGCCUCUGCUUUCUGUCUCUGAGCCCAUGGCACACACCUCUCAUCAGUCAGGGCAUCCUCUCUUGAGGAGUUCAGAUGCGCCUUUCAAAAUCCUUCCCAACACUAAGUCCUGGAUAGCUACAGGCAAUAACGCAGAGCUGAAACCCAUUCAUCCUGUGUGGACUGGACGGACAAUUCCUAAAAACCCUUGCAGAAAGACCAAAGUCCCGAGCUUUGACUCAGACGCCUCAUCCUUUGAGUGCCUAACCUUGGCUCCAGGCAACGUCCGACCCGUCUCAGAGGCUUCAGGCAAGCAUGGAACAGCAGAGGAGACUCUCUGGGCUAAGCACCAUCUUAUUGAACCUCCCAAGAAGCUUGGAAGGUGGCCAGUGUUACCGAUCCCUUUUUACAGAUGAGAAAACUGAGGCUCAGUUAAGCCGUUCCCCCGAGGCCACACGAUGAUCGUGUUAGUCAAGGUCGUAGCCUAAUCUGUCCGCGUUCGGGGUCGUGUUCUUACCCGGUGCGUGUGAUUUUGGAACCUGCGGGUGGGGGUGCGAGAGGAGGACAUGAUAAAUAAACCUGGUCCUUCUCCUUACAUCCUGGGUCACUUUCAGCAAAGACAGACCUAGCCGGUUUCCACUAAUCCUAUGGACUGCCUUACUCCACCCCUCCUCCCAAACUGUAUCUGUCUCACCUUAUCUGGGAGGUCCUCUCCUGUCCCAUUUUACAGCUGAGGAAAGCUGAGGUUAUGUGGUUUUGCUGGAGACGACCAGGGGAGGAAGUUGCUGGAGACUGAGAACCGGACCUGCCCAGGGUUUAGACUCAAACCCUCCCUCUGGCUGGAGACUCGGGAAUACAUACAGCCCCCCGUCAGUCAUGGGCGGGGAGGAGGGGGACGGCUGGGAUGCCAGAUGGUUUCUGGUCAACAACACGGCCUUUGACUGUAGGGAAGGUACUUUCCAAGGGCACUCGAAGUUCCAGUCACUCCUUCUGGAGCAAUCAGCCAGUCCUGCAAUGCGUGGCAUCCACACUGGCUUCUGCAGAUGGGGCCAGAAGCCGAGGAAGACUCCCGCUGGUCCUUAGGGACGUGGCGGGGCCUUGGUGCUGAAGGCCCCUCUCUCACCUUGUCCUCACGGUCCAGUUUUCCCAGGAAUCCCUUAGAUGCUAAGAUGGGGAUUCCUGGAAAUACUGUUCUUGAGGUCAUGGUUUAGCAACUGGACUCACCUCCUUCCCACCCAGAGCUGUCCCCGUGGGACCUCAGCUCAAGCACAGGAUGAGGCUCCAGGAGAAGGCGGUGCGCUGGAGGUAAGAGGGCUUGCACGCGGUGUUCUUGACCUUUAAGCUGCUUUUUCUUUCCAUUUUGUCCGAUUCGUAACAUUCCUGUGAGGCUGGAUGUGGGAACUUCACCACCGCUGUACUCUUGGGAAAUCUGUCGCAGCACUCGGAUGAGGAGUGUUUGAACCAGGUCGCCGUAAAGUACAUGCUUCUCCAGGUCCUCACCCCUGCCCCUCACCCCACUUCCCAGGGUGCCCUGUGGCAGGGGCCACAAGAGGGCAUCUACCUAAUGGAUAAACUAAUGAACGGACGUGAAUUUAACAGUUUAUUAAAUCAGUUAGAGAAACUAAAAACCAUAAAUCUUAGUUCCAUUUGGAAAGCAACCACAGAAAAAUGAAACUUUUUUCAAUCAAAGCCCAGAAGACAAAAGGCCCAGAGCGCCCUCUUGUGGUGAUACCUGUCUCUACUUACUCCGGGAACACUGGGACUCUCCCUCUCACACACACCCACACACACACACACACACACACACACACACCCUGUGAAUGCAUUAGCCCAUCCAUCACCUCAUUACCUGUGACGCCUCCACCACUUAGAGCUUACUUCUGUAACCUGGCUUUGUCCUCAAAGCUCUCAGUUGUGGUUGGUGAGGCUGACAGGUGAAAUGACCAGCCCAAGUUCACCCAGGCAGCCAAAGGCACAGCCAGAGUUGAUUCCAAGUUCGGUGGCCCACGGCGAGUCCUUAGCCAAAAGCAAAAACUACAAAAAAAUAAAAAUAAAGAGAAGCUCUGUCUGAACAGACGCAGGGAAUGCCAGUGAGCAAAUGCCCGAGACGCAAGGCAGUCCAGGCGCUGCACUAGAACUUUCUGCAAAUUCUUCCUAGUGCUUCUCAAUGGAGUUGGUAGGGACAGUAGGUGCCGUGGCCCCAGAAUCCUCACCUGCGGGUCUGAUCCCUGUACUCCCGGGGACCGGGUGGCUCUCACCUGUGACCUGGCCUGUCUUCCCGGCAGGCCACAUCCGAGACAUUUAGGAAGGAUGAGAUCCCCUCCCCCUCAUUCACAGACUGGAGCCGUCUGAGCACGGAGCUCGCUGACUCUCUCCUAGUAAAUAAUCGUAGCAACUCCCACUCAUUGACUGUUGGCAAUCUGCCAGGCACCAUGUUAGACCCUUCACAGGCAUUGUCUCACCCAGUCUCCCAACAACCCAGUGAGGAAGGUUCUGUCAUUGACUCCAUGUCACAGGCCAGGAAGGCAAGGCUCGGACAGGUUAAGAGACUCGCCCAAGAUCACCCACCUGACACUGAGCUGGGAACCCACCACGUCUGUGUUUAUAGUUUUAACCUGCCCUUGCCCCCUCUCUCCCACUGGCCUGCCCUACCAGGCAGGGCUGUCUCCCCAGGGCUUCCCCGGGGAGGGGGUAAGACAACCCUCCAGUGAGACCCAAGCGGUCGGUUCUGUGCCCCGUGAUUCUAAUAAAGUGCUGGACCCUC